UGUCUCAGGUCUGGCAGUUCACCAGUCUUCUCCUACCCUCUGUCUCAGGUCUGGCAGUUCACCAGUCUUCUCCUACCCUCUGUCUCAGGUCUGGCAGUUCACCAGUCUUCUCCUACCCUCUGUCUCAGGUCUGGCAGUUCACCAGUCUUCUCCUACCCUCUGUCUCAGGUCUGGCAGUUCACCAGUCUUCUCCUACCCUCUGUCUCAGGUCUGGCAGUUCACCAGUCUUCUCCUACCCUCUGUCUCAGGUCUGGCAGUUCACCAGUCUUCUCCUACCCUCUGUCUCAGGUCUGACAGGGGAGCUCGGAGAUAAAGGAGAGCAGGGCCGGACGGGGAAGAUGGGUCCUGCUGGAGACAAAGGAGACGCAGGAGAUGCAGGAGUUGAUGGACCCUCUGGACUGAAAGGGAAAACAGGGGCAACAUGUGACUGUGGGAGGUACAGGAAGGUCGAU